CCAUCACCGACAGCACCCAAUGGGCUGGUUGACUCUGUAACAUAUCCAGUGUCUCCACCGCCUACCUCAGGGCCAGCAGCUCCUCCGCCGCCGCCUCCACUGCCUUCCCUCGCAUCACUCUCACACUGUGGAUCUCAAGCUUCUCCUCCUCCAAGCACCCCUAUUGCCUCAACUCCCUCAUCCAAGCCUAGUGUUCUCCCUUCUCCCUCUGCAGCUGCCCCUGCCUCUGUUGAGACUCCUCUAAACUCUGUGCUGGGAGACUCUUCUGCUUCUGAGCCAGGCUUGCAGGCAGCCUCUCAGCCGGCCGAGACUCCAUCCCAACAGGGCAUUGUCUUGGGACCACUUGCACCUCCACCUCCUCCACCACUCCCACCAGGGCCUGCACAGGCUUCAGUAGCCCUCCCUCCUCCCCCAGGGCCCCCUCCACCUCCUCCACUCCCAUCCACCGGGCCUCCACCGCCCCCUCCUCCCCCUCCUCUCCCUAAUCAAGUACCCCCUCCUCCUCCACCACCUCCUGCCCCACCCCUCCCUGCAUCUGGAUUCUUUUUGGCAUCCAUGUCAGAAGACAAUCGCCCUUUAACUGGACUUGCAGCUGCAAUUGCCGGAGCAAAACUUAGGAAAGUGUCACGGAUGGAGGAUACCUCUUUCCCAAGUGGAGGGAAUGCUAUUGGUGUGAACUCCGCCUCAUCUAAAACAGAUACAGGCCGUGGAAAUGGACCCCUUCCUUUAGGGGGUAGUGGUUUAAUGGAAGAAAUGAGUGCCCUGCUGGCCAGGAGGAGAAGAAUUGCUGAAAAGGGAUCAACAAUAG
rnacentral:lncRNA from 1 species